rnacentral:rRNA from 1 species
CCUACGGGAGGCAGCAGUGGGGAAUUUUGGACAAUGGGCGCAAGCCUGAUCCAGCCAUGCCGCGUGUCUGAAGAAGGCCUUCGGGUUGUAAAGGACUUUUGUUAGGGAAGAAAAGGAGUGUGUUAAUACCAUACUCUGCUGACGGUACCUAAAGAAUAAGCACCGGCUAACUACGUGCCAGCAGCCGCGGUAAUACGUAGGGUGCGAGCGUUAAUCGGAAUUACUGGGCGUAAAGCGAGCGCAGACGGUUACUUAAGCAGGAUGUGAAAUCCCCGAGCUCAACUUGGGAACUGCGUUCUGAACUGGGUAGCUAGAGUAUGUCAGAGGGGGGUAGAAUUCCACGUGUAGCAGUGAAAUGCGUAGAGAUGUGGAGGAAUACCGAUGGCGAAGGCAGCCCCCUGGGAUAAUACUGACGUUCAUGCUCGAAAGCGUGGGUAGCAAACAGGAUUAGAUACCCCUGUAGUC